GUGAGGAAUUUUCCGUAAUGGGCGAAAGCCUGACGGAGCAAUGCCGCGUGAAGGAUGAAGGCCUAUGGGUUGUAAACUUCUUUUCUCAGAAAAGAAUUAUGACGGUAUCUGAGGAAUAAGCAUCGGCUAACUCUGUGCCAGCAGCCGCGGUAAGACAGAGGAUGCAAGCGUUAUCCGGAAUGAUUGGGCGUAAAGCGUCUGUAGGUUGUUUAAAAAGUAUUCUGUCAAAGAUUAGGGCUUAACCCUAGAUAGGCAGAAUAAACUUUUAAGCUAGAGUUUGGUAGAGGCAGAGGGAAUUCCCGGUGGAGCGGUGAAAUGCGUAGAUAUCGGGAGGAACACCAAAGGCGAAGGCACUCUGCUGGGCCAAUACUAACACUGAGAGACGAAAGCGAGGGGAGCAAAUGGGAUUAGAAACCCUGGUAGUCC
rnacentral:rRNA from 1 species